AGAGUUUGAUCAUGGCUCAGGAUGAACGCUAGCGGCAGGCUUAAUACAUGCAAGUCGAGGGGCAGCACAGGUAGCAAUACUGGGUGGCGACCGGCAAACGGGUGCGGAACACGUACACAACUUACCUUUUGGUGUGGGAUAGCCUUUGGAAACGGAGAUUAAUACCACAUAUUACAUAGAAGCUGCAUGGUUUUUAUGUUAAAGAUUUAUUGCCAGAAGAUGGGUGUGCGUAUGAUUAGGUAGUUGGUAGGGUAACGGCCUACCAAGCCAACGAUCAUUAACUGGUGUGAGAGCACGACCGGCCACACUGGGACUGAGAUACGGCCCAGACUCCUACGGGAGGCAGCAGUGGGGAAUAUUGCACAAUGGGCGCAAGCCUGAUGCAGCGACGCCGCGUGGGGGAUGACGGCCUUCGGGUUGUAAACCUCUUUCAGCAGGGACGAAGGGUGACUGACGGUACCUGUAGAAGAAGCACCGGCCAACUACGUGCCAGCAGCCGCGGCAAUACGUAGGGUGCGAGCGUUGUCCGGAAUUACUGGGCGUAAAGAGCUCGUAGGUGGUUUGUCGCGUUGUCCGUGAAAACUCACAGCUUAACUGUGGGCGUGCGGGCGAUACGGGCAGACUGGAGUACUGCAGGGGAGACUGGAAUUCCUGGUGUAGCGGUGGAAUGCGCAGAUAUCAGGAGGAACACCGGUGGCGAAGGCGGGUCUCUGGGCAGUAACUGACGCUGAGGAGCGAAAGCGUGGGGAGCGAACAGGAUUAGAUACCCUGGUAGUCCACGCCGUAAACGGUGGGUACUAGGUGUGGGUUUCCUUCCUUGGGAUCCGUGCCGUAGCUAACGCAUUAAGUACCCCGCCUGGGGAGUACGGCCGCAAGGCUAAAACUCAAAGGAAUUGACGGGGGCCCGCACAAGCGGCGGAGCAUGUGGAUUAAUUCGAUGCAACGCGAAGAACCUUACCUGGGUUUGACAUGCACAGGACGUGCCUAGAGAUAGGUAUUCCCUUGUGGCCUGUGUGCAGGUGGUGCAUGGCUGUCGUCAGCUCGUGUCGUGAGAUGUUGGGUUAAGUCCCGCAACGAGCGCAACCCUUGUCCUAUGUUGCCAGCGGGUUAUGCCGGGGACUCGUAGGAGACUGCCGGGGUCAACUCGGAGGAAGGUGGGGAUGACGUCAAGUCAUCAUGCCCCUUAUGUCCAGGGCUUCACACAUGCUACAAUGGCCGGUACAAAGGGCUGCGAUGCCGUGAGGUGGAGCGAAUCCUUUAAAGCCGGUCUCAGUUCGGAUCGGGGUCUGCAACUCGACCCCGUGAAGUCGGAGUCGCUAGUAAUCGCAGAUCAGCAACGCUGCGGUGAAUACGUUCCCGGCCUUGCACACACCGCCCGU
rnacentral:rRNA from 1 species